rnacentral:rRNA from 1 species
UCCCGAGCGUUNUCCGGAUUUAUUGGGCGUAAAGGGAGCGCAGGCGNUCAGGAAAGUCUGGAGUAAAAGGCUAUGGCUCAACCAUAGUGUGNUCUGGAAACUGUCUGACUUGAGUGCAGAAGGGGAGAGUGGAAUUCCAUGUGUAGCGGUGAAAUGCGUAGAUAUAUGGAGGANCACCAGUGGCGAAAGCGGCUCUCUGGUCUGUCACUGACGCUGAGGCUCGAAAGCGUGGGUAGCGAACAGGAUUAGAUACCCUGGUAGUNCACGCCGUAAACGAUGAGUGCUAGGUGUUAGGCCCUUUCCGGGGCUUAGUGCCGGAGCUAACGCAAUAAGCACUCCGCCUGGGGAGUACGACCGCAAGGUUGAAACUCAAAGGAAUUGACGGGGGCCCGCACAAGCGGUGGAGCAUGUGGUUUAAUUCGAAGCAACGCGAAGAACCUUACCAGGUCUUGACAUCCCGAUGCUAUUCUUAGAGAUAGGAAGUUACUUCGGUACAUCGGAGACAGGUGGUGCAUGGUUGUCGUCAGCUCGUGUCGUGAGAUGUUGGGUUAAGUCCCGCAACGAGCGCAACCCUUAUUGUUAGUUGCCAUCAUUAAGUUGGGCACUCUAGCGAGACUGCCGGUAAUAAACCGGAGGAAGGUGGGGAUGACGUCAAAUCAUCAUGCCCCUUAUGACCUGGGCUACACACGUGCUACAAUGGUCGGUACAACGAGUUGCGAGCCGGUGACGGCAAGCUAAUCUCUGAAAGCCGAUCUCAGUUCGGAUUGGAGGCUGCAACUCGCCUCCAUGAAGUCGGAAUCGCUAGUAAUCGCGGAUCAGCACGCCGCGGUGAAUACGUUCCCGGGCCUUGUACACACCGCCCGUCACACCACGAGAGUUUGUAACACCCGAAGUCGGUGAGGUAACCUUUUA